rnacentral:rRNA from 1 species
UACGUAGGGGGCGAGCGUUGUCCGGAUUUAUUGGGCGUAAAGAGCGUGUAGGCGGCCAGGUAGGUCCGUUGUGAAAACUCGAGGCUCAACCUCGAGACGCCGAUGGAAACCAUCUGACUAGAGUCCGGAAGAGGAGAGUGGAAUUCCUGGUGUAGCGGUGAAAUGCGCAGAUAUCAGGAAGAACACCCGUGGCUAAGGCGGCUCUCUAGUACGGUACUGACGCUGAGACGCGAAAGCGUGGGGAGCGAACAGG